rnacentral:lncRNA from 1 species
GUCUUCCUUAAGGAGUUUCCCUGAUCCCUUUUCUGUGUCAGUAACAGCUAAAGAGACUUUUGCAAUAUAUUUUUUCAGAGUCAGCCUUGCAUCUGAAAGAAUGGACAGAAACACACACAUGACAAGACAAACACAAGAGGCAAAGCAAGAUAGUCAAAUGGAAGCCUCCACUGUCCACCCCACCCCACAGAAACACCAAAUUGAAAAACUAUCCAUACAAAAAAGCACCAACAUGAGAACCAAAAAUCAGCUGAAAAAGCAAGCCUCCUUAGAAAAACCUGGUAAUGAUCUAGAAAGCCCAUUGAUCAACAACAUUGACCAAACACUCCACAGAGUGGCAACCACAGCAUCAGUGAUAUACAAGAUCUGGGAGCACAGGUCUCACCAUCCUUCCUCUAAGAAAAUUAAGCACUGCAAAUUAAAGAAGAAGAGUAAAGAAGAAGGAGCCAGAAGAUACUAAAUAAAUGCAUAUGCAAAUGUAGCUUAGUCAAUUAUAGAUAUCACAAAAGAAAUCUAUCAUCUAAGGAUUAAAAAUUGUUCUUUGGAAACCUUUAUAAACUUUUUGCCACAAUCUUUACUAAAAUUUUCCAAAGAAGCCUGGGUUGAAAUGUUACU